GUUCACUGGAGGAGACUGAGGUCAGAGCUCUCAGCAGUUCUGCAGCAUCCUCGCAAGGAGGAGGAGCUGGCCCUGAUCUCUGCUCGGUGUUACCACGGACAGGACCCAGGGAACAGCUGGAGCUGUGUCACGGGCUGGUUAGGGUGGAUUUUAGGAAAUGUUCUUCACCCAGAGGGUGGUUGGGAACUGAACAGGCUUCCCCAGGCAGUGGUCACAGAACCCAGCCUGACAGAGCUCCAGGAGCAUUUGGACAACGCUCUUGAGCACGGGGUGGGAUUGUUGGGGUGUCCGGUGCUGGGCCAGGCGCUGGGCUGGAUGAUCCUUGUCGAUCUUUUUCAGUUUCAGACUUUCUGUGAUUCUGCAAUAACUGCAUCCCUCUCAGGUUUCGACACAGCACUUGUUUGCUUUGCCUCUGGAGUGCAGCUGACCCACCAGCCUAGGUCUCUGGUCCAGCUUAAGACUCAGAGAUGCUUUUUAUUUUUAAGCUUCCUUCAUUAUCCGAGUCUCUUGUUUUCCCACUCCUUAACUUCACAUGUGUGAACCCUUUGUGUUUUCUCCCAGCAGGCAGCUGGGGGUUCAAGGAAAAGUGUUGGCUUUAUAGGAUUACAGGAUCCCAGGCAGGAUUACAUCCAAGAUCAUCAAAUAAAUGUAAAUUAAUGAAACACCUGAAUUCAGAAGAAAUUGACCAGGCCAUGGGUAGAAAAAUUCUGUAGGCCGCAUUAAGAAGCUGAGUCCACAGAUAGAGUUCCUGGGCUUUCUGUCUCUUGUAGGUACACAGGUGCUUAAAGGGAUACAGGAUUUAUGUGAGGAUGCACUUUGCCAUAGGUCUUUGCUCAACAAAAUCACAAAGUGUGCAAAGAAUUAUCUUAUACAGGUGGCUGAGGAAGGCAUUACCUAUAUUAUUCUGUCUCUUCAAAUUGAUAUCCAGAGUUGUCUCCUUGCUAAGUCUGCUUUUUUCUACUAAUCAUUUCUUGAGGCUUACAGGUGUGUAUCCUCCAGGAUGUGCUCUGAAGAUUUCAGCAAAAGAGAAAGAGGAGGCUUGACUCAGCCACCAGAGAAGCCCUGCAGCCCACAUCUAGGCAAUCCUGAACCCUCCCUUUCCUGCGAGACCUGUGUGGAGUCUCCCAAGCAGGAAAACUCCCCUCAGAAGUGGCACACUGAGAACUCUCCCCAGCCAGCCAUGGAAUCAUCCUCUGCCUGCUGCUGCCUUCUGAGUCCUCCUUUCAUUCGUUUGUGUGGGUGCCUUUUUUCAGCAGAGUGGAUCAGCUCCUGCAGCUGAGAUUCAAAUUGCACAUCACUGCAUUUACAGUCAGAUGGAAGGAAAGGGAUGCUUCAAAUUCCCAGGAGUUGACUCUGGAUCAUGUCUCUCUUGGUUUGGUGUCAGACCUCAGGGAGAUUAUAUAAAUAGCUAGUGCAUCUUCCCAUUGCAUUUUCUAAGUUCCUAGGAGCUGGCAGCAGGUUGGAGUUGGUCAUCCUGACUGGAAAACUGCUUCUCUUCUAUCCAGAAAAGGGCAACUUACUGUCUGAGGUGAGCUUUCCCCUGUCCUUGGCACCUCCAGCAGCUGCAGAGGCAGUUUUCUGUUUGAUUUUGUGAAUCAUGUCUUGAGGUACCUUGCUUUCUCUGCCUGCUGUACAGAGUUUGAGUGCCUGAACACAUCUGGAACCCAGCAGAGUGUGAGCCAGGAGAGGGCUUGUCCCAUGCUGUGAGUAGCCCAUGUGGAUUGGGCUGCACUGUCUCUUAGCCCACAAAACUCUGGGCUACAGCAGUUGAGUAUGCUCCUUUCCCUUCAAGGACAUACCUCCUUGGUGUGUAUAUAUAUAUUUAUCCCUGGUGUGUCCCUUCCCUGCAGAGAGGCCCAGCAGCACGAAGAGCAGGGCCCUGUACCCUGAAGUGCUCCUGCUUUCUGCAGUGCCGGGCUGAGGGGCAGUUGGGACAUUAACCUCCCACUCCAACAUCCUCCUCGUAAACAUCCUGUCCCGCUCAAGUCCUGUGCUGUCACAUCCUCUGUGCUCUGCCCAGACACUAUUCUGGGUUUAGUUCUACAUGCAGAGCACACAGCUGGGCAUUCCAAAAUUCAGGCAGGCAGCAGGACAGAACAGAACAGUAACUUGGUUCAGCUGCUGACAUACUACAAGUACUGCAGAGGAGGAGAGUUGUUUAAACGUCUUCUUAAAACUAAAAUCAUCUGCUUGAGCCCUCCUUGGAAAGCCAGUUUGCUCCCCUAGGUGUGUUCAGCAGCUGUACCUUACUCCAAGCAGAUGCAAACCUGUGCAUAUGGCAUGAAAACCCUUGGUAAUAAUGGAAGGGAGCAGAAGAGAGAGCUUGGAAACUGCAGCACAGUAAGUUUACACAAGCAGCAAGUAAAACACCCAUCCCCGGUGAGUCAGUCCUGGCCGUUUCCUUCAUUUCCUCCAAGGCUCGCUGUGAACAUCCAGUGGUACCAGCCCUUCUGAAAUCCAGUCAUCUCCUUUCCUGCCUCUUGUUUACAGCCUCCAGCACUGCAUUUUCACUGCAGCAGGCUGAGAGAAGUGCAGACUCUCCCCUGGCCUCAGCUUACCUUUGGUAGCGCAGUGCUCUUGUUGCUUUUGGGGGUGCCAGCACCUUCUUGAGCUACAGCAGGUGCUGAGUUAAGAGAGGAAAAAGUGUCACAGUUACACAGUAGGGUUUUUUAAAAAAAAAUCUUGAAUGUAGCUGUAUCAUUGACAAAGGUUCUUUAUCCCUACAGCCAUACCUUUGGAUUCAGUCUGGUAGGGUAGAAAGAAGCAGUGGGGUAUUAGGUUGUUUUAAGUGUGCAGACAUCCCUCAGAGAUAUGGGUUGAAUCUUCCCUGCUUCAGAUUGAGAUGUAUCUCAUGCUCUGAUUUCCCCACAUGACAGCAGCUAGGGAGGAGGACUAUUUUGAGCUUUUGUUUAUUGGUUUGUUUACAGGAAAUUCUUCAUUUGUGGGAGUGAGCUUGGGUCUGUGUUAGUCUGAGAAUCCACUUCAGUGCCAGUUGUGGAUGUAUUUACAAGGGUGAACCGCUGCUGUUGUCUGGGAAGAGGCAUCAUUUAUCCCAGGUGUUCAAGAAACUAUGGGUUUUACACAGACAAAUAUUGAUUUCUGGGAUGUUUCCUGAAAUUUUCUCAAGGAGAUGUCCAGACAGCUGUGACAGAAAAGUUUAGGAAAAUACAGAACUAGGAAAUUCUUUUGGGUGAUACGGAUAGAAAUGCUUUUCUGGGUGAAACUAAUUAUAAAUCUACAUUGCUGCCAUAACCUGAGUUAAUAACAAUAGCUCUGAGACAAAACCCAUAUUGUCAAAGAACACGAACAUCCCAAGACAAGAACAGACCAAAAUGGGCUUCCUCCAUUUCCUUCUCCAGUAUCCUCUCCUGGGAAUUCUGAAUAGCCUCCAGCCAACAAGUGACCUAGAUACAAUGCUGUGUCUGCUCUUAUGGAGUAAAACCAGGAGCAAAAUAAUCCACCAAAAUUAUAUAUCUUUAAAAUCCUUAUUCAACUUCACCCAGGUUUGGGUUUUGUUUUGUUUUGUUUUGUUUCUUCCAUGCAAAAAAAGCAGUAAGAAUUGUUUGUACAAAUGGAUACCUGCAUAUGAAGCACAAAGGGAUAGUUUCUUGUCAUGAUGAAUUUUGUACCAGUUACAGGGAAGGUGUACAUUGGAUGGAUUAAGCGUGAAUGGCCUGUUUCAUAUGUUGUACAAUUUUUUUCCAAAGUAAUUGCAGUGCCUGGGCUGAUGUGCAUGUCAGGCCAUUGUCCUACACAGCUAAAUUCCCCUUUUUUAACAGGGUCUGCCAGGAAAAUUUAAACAAAUGGACAAGGCUGCAGACUGUCUUGAGACAAAGGCUACUCUUAGAGGCAUGAGAGUAAGGAAUGGUCUGGAGAGUCCCUGCCUGUCAGCCAUGAAAGGUAGUCCACUUACCCUGUGGUCAUUUCUUCAGGCUUUCUGCUCCACUAUGAACUCUAGAAAUAAAUUACUCUAAGGAAAAGGCAGAAUAUGGACAAAGUCACACCACUGCAGUGUCUUUGUACAAGUCCUGGAGGUAGAGAUCUCCAAGCCUGGAUGUGUGAUAGUGGAGUGCCCCCUCAUGGGAAGCUGUUCCUGAUGCUGAUUCCUGGCUGCAUCCAGGUGAGAGAACGUGAGCCCAAACACCAUUCUGUUUGCUGUGCCUGCUCCUCUGUAUUGAUUGUUGUCACAACAGCAGGUUUAGAGAGCA